GUCGUUGUAGUAUAGUGGUGAGUAUUUCUUCCUGUCACGCGGGUGACCCAGGUUCGUUCCCUGGAGAUGACG
rnacentral:tRNA from 1 species